rnacentral:rRNA from 1 species
AUUAAACGCUGGCGGCAUGCCUUACACAUGCAAGUCGAACGGCAGCACGGGGGCAACCCUGGUGGCGAGUGGCGAACGGGUGAGUAAAGCAUCGGAACGUGCCCUGGAGUGGGGGAUAACGUAGCGAAAGUUACGCUAAUACCGCAUAUUCUGUGAGCAGGAAAGCAGGGGAUCGCAAGACCUUGCGCUCUGGGAGCGGCCGAUGUCGGAUUAGCUAGUUGGUGGGGUAAAGGCCUACCAAGGCGACGAUCCGUAGCGGGUCUGAGAGGAUGAUCCGCCACACUGGGACUGAGACACGGCCCAGACUCCUACGGGAGGCAGCAGUGGGGAAUUUUGGACAAUGGGCGAAAGCCUGAUCCAGCCAUGCCGCGUGAGUGAAGAAGGCCUCGGUUGU